GCGCGCGUGUGUGUGUGUGUGUGUGUGUGUGUGUGUCUCACACAAUGCUGUUCAGUGGCUCUCCUCCACA
rnacentral:pre_miRNA from 14 species